rnacentral:rRNA from 1 species
AAUAUUGGACAAUGGGCGAAAGCCUGAUCCAGCCAUGCCGCGUGUGUGAAGAAGGUCUUCGGAUUGUAAAGCACUUUAAGUUGGUAGGAAGGGCUGUAGGUUAAUACCUUGCUGUUUUUACGUUACCGACAGAAUAAGCACCGGCUAACUUCGUGCCAGCAGCCGCGGUAAUACGCAGGGUGCAAGCGUUAAUCGGAAUUACUGGGCGUAAAGCGCGCGUUAGUGGUUAAGUAAGAUGGAAGUGAAAUCCCCGGGCUUAACCUGGGAACUGCUUUCAUAACUGCUGAGCUAGAGUACGGUAGAGCGUAAUGGAAUUUCCUGUGUAGCGGUGAAAUGCGUAGAUAUAGGAAGGAACACCAGUGGCGAAGGCGACUACCUGGACUGAUACUGACACUGAGGUGCGAAAGCGUGGGGAGCAAAAAGG